UACAGGGGGUGCAAACGUUGCUCGGAUUCAUUGGGCGUAAAGGGUGCGUAGGCGGCGCGGUAAGUCGGGUGUGAAAUCUCGGAGCUUAACUCCGAAACUGCAUUCGAUACUGCCGUGCUUGAGGACUGGAGAGGAGACUGGAAUUUACGGUGUAGCAGUGAAAUGCGUAGAGAUCGUAAGGAAGACCAGUGGCGAAGGCGGGGUCUCUGGACAGUUCCUGACACUGAGGCACGAAGGCCAGGGGAGCAAACGGG
rnacentral:rRNA from 1 species